rnacentral:misc_RNA from 1 species
GACAGUUCACAGGAAGCGCCCACGCGGGCGUUAACUGGCAAUCCGGCGCAUUCGUUUACGGCGUCGAGGGUGAGCUUGGUUAUCUCAACAUCGGCAAGCGUCAGACCGGCACUGGCACUUAUGUGUCGGGCGGCGGCGGGGGGGCCGGGCUCGGCGGGGGCCCCGUCUGACUUCCUUCUGACCUUCCGCGGACGCCUUGGUUAUGCGGUCUCCCCCAACCUCCUCGCAUACGGCACUGGUGGCCUCGCGGUUGGCCGCACGACAGUGUCCAGCAACUAUCAGGACACGCACACGCACAGUGAUCCGCUCGGCGGCAAUGGCGUGGUUACAGAUUCACGGUUCCGGCUCGGUUGGACCGUUGGCGCGGGCC